GUUGGUAAUUAGUGGGCCCUGCCAAUGGAGAUUAUACUUGGUACUCAGUGGACUCUACUAGUGGGGGUUGUACGCUAGUAUUUAGUGGACCUUACUAGUGAGGGUUGUGCGCUGGUAUUCAGUGAACCCUGCAAGUAGAGAUUAUGCGCUAGUAUUCAGUGGACCCCAUCAAUAAAGGUUAAACGUUGGUCAUAGUCGUGGCUUUUGAGUUAUAAGUGUUUUGAUUUGAAUCGGAUUUAUAAUUAUAUUGUAUAUAAAUAUUUGAAAAGAUUGGAUUUGCAUUGAAUUAGCGUGAAAUAUAUUUUUAUAUUUAUUCACAGCAUUGUUCUUAAAUAUUAUAUAAUAUCUGAAAUAUCUAGUUGAGAUAUUUGUUACUUACUGGACUGUCUAGCUCAUUACCUCUCUUUUUAUUUUUUUCAGAUUCAGAUAAUUAAUUGUGAGUGUGGAUAAUAAUGUUGGGACAAAGCUUUAAGAGAUGAGAUUUAGCUUUAUCAACUUCAUUGAACUUAGAUCUAUUAUUUUAUUUUUAGUGAAACUUUAUUGGAUGUAAGACAUUUGAUUUAGUUAUUUGAAUUAAAGUUGAAUAAUAAUUAUUUGAAUUUAUUCUACUGUGAUGUAUUGAUAUCGUGAUGAGAUGCCUUGUAUGCUUAUGGAGAGUUCUUCAUAAGUAUGCGACGGUUGCCAUAGCCUCUGGCUCGCGAUCUUGGGUCGGAGGCAUGACAAUUAAUGUGGGAUCAGAGCAUAAGUAAAAUUAUGACACAUUGAAUCAGAUAUGAGUGUAGACGGAUAGACACAAGGGACAUUGGGACAAUAAAUUAUAUUAAUUAUGAUAUGACUUAGAAACCUAGAUUUGACAUAAGUGCAUUGAUGAGUGCGCAGUGGAAGCAUAGUGGUUUGAGUUAUUUUCAAGUUAAUGAGAACAAUAAUUCGAUUUGAAAAAUGUUAUAAUGAAGGAUUCGAUUUAGAAAUUUGGGGAUUGACUAUGACUUGAGAG
rnacentral:lncRNA from 1 species